CGCGGGAUAGAGCAGUUGGUAGCUCGUCGGGCUCAUAACCCGGAGGUCGCUGGUUCGAAUCCAGCUCCCGCAA
rfam:Halobacteroides halobius DSM 5150, complete genome.